UUCGUCCUGGCCAAAGUGGUCACCACAACAGAAUCGAAAGCUGUUUCUGCGCAGGUUCGAAACCUGCCGACAAGG